rnacentral:rRNA from 1 species
CAGCUCCCCAUAGCGUAUAUUAAAGUUGUUGCAGUUAAAAAGCUCGUAGUUGGAUUUCGGAAGGUCCUUAGCAAUCCGCCCCUUCGGGGAGCGGGUUGCUGGCCUCCUAUGUUCCUAACGGUCCUCAUCCGCGAGGGUGGGGAAUCAACCGCUAGGAUCGUUUACUUUGAGGAAAUUAGAGUGUUCAAAGCAGGCGUAACUCGCCUCCGAAUACGUUAGCAUGGGAUAAUGGAAUACGACUUCGGUCUUGUUUCGUUGGUUUCGCUUGGCUGAAGUAAUGAUUGAUAGGGACAGUUGGGGGCAUUAGUAUUUAGUUGUCAGAGGUGAAAUUCUAGGAUUUACUAAAGACUGACCAAUGCGAAAGCAUUUGCCAAGGAUGUUUUCAUUAAUCAAGAACGAAAGUAGGGGGAUCGAAGACGAUCAGAUACCGUCGUAGUCUCUACCGUAAACUAUGCCGACCAGGGAUCCGGAGAGUUUGCAUGGAUGACUCCCCGGGCACCUUGUGAGAAAUCAUAAGUGUUUGGGUUUUGGGGGGAGUAUGGUCGCAAGGCUGAAACUAAAGGAAUGACGAAGCUACCACAUUUC